GCCGGGCAUGGUGGCUCAUGCCUGUAAUCCGAGCACUUUGGGAGGCCGAGGUGGGUGGAUCACCUGAGGUCAGGAGUUCAAGACCAUCCUGGCCAACAUGGUGAGACCCCAUCUCUA
rfam:Pan troglodytes isolate Yerkes chimp pedigree #C0471 (Clint) chromosome 4, whole genome shotgun sequence.